rnacentral:rRNA from 1 species
AUUGAACGCUGGCGGCAUGCCUUACACAUGCAAGUCGAACGGCAGCACGGGGCAACCUGGUGGCGAGUGGCGAACGGGUGAGUAAUGCAUCGGAACGUACCUUUCAGUGGGGGAUAACGUAGCGAAAGUUACGCUAAUACCGCAUAUUCUGUGAGCAGGAAAGCAGGGGAUCGCAAGACCUUGCGCUGAUUGAGCGGCCGAUGUCAGAUUAGCUAGUUGGUGAGGUAAAGGCUCACCAAGGCGACGAUCUGUAGCGGGUCUGAGAGGAUGAUCCGCCAAACUGGAACUGAGACACGGUCCAGACGCCUACGGGAGGCAGCAGUGGGGAAUUUUGGACAAUGGGGGCAACCCUGGUCCAGCCAUGCCGCGUGAGUGAAGAAGGCCUUCGGGUUGUAAAGCUCUUUCGGCCGGGAAGAAAUCGCACGGGCUAAUACCCUGUGUGGAUGACGGUACCGGAAUAAGAAGCACCGGCUAACUACGUGCCAGCCGCCGCCGUAAAAC